CACCUGGACGUGAGAGAUAGCCACAUAAGCACAUCUUGUUUAUUAGCUCAUCCUUAUGGUGUAAGGCCAUAUAAACACAUCGCAUUCAUAGCCGUGCAAAAUCUCUGCUACUUAUCAGCUCAUCAUCUCACUUCCUAUCUCAGCAGAAAACGUCCUCUCUCUCACUUGGAACUCCUUGGCUCCCGCUUCUCAUUUAGGCAUCUCUCUGGGAGUCAUGGAAUGCAGUUGCCUGAGGAAGGGAUUGGGGAGUUCCAAGACAACCAAAAACUUGCUCUGUGUUUCUGGCCAUCUUAUUGAGACUUUGCUGGGCCACCUUGGAGGGAUGUGAAUGAGGACCAAAACCUGCAUGCCUUAGGCACCUGGGAUUUUGCUUCCCCAUGAGCUCACUUCCAUGACAUGAAAGCCCAAAAAGUGACACUCAGCAGCUAUCAACAAUUUUAAUAUGGACUUUUCUGAGAGAGCCAGAAAAAAUAAAAGCUUUUUCCAAGGUCAUUAGCUGACAAUUGCAGCCUGUUUGAAAAUUGCUUGCACUCUCUGCUAAUUGGUCUACCAGACCUGUUCAUUUGUUAAUUUGAUGCCAUUAGGUAACUGGCACAUCUCUGCCGCAGACAGAGCAAGGCAAGGACUGAGAGUGCUAUUUUGGUCUUUUUCUUUGCAAGUUUUGACACGACUUGAUGCAGAGCAAAGGUGCUCCCUCCGUGCCUGCUGUGGGGACCAUCCCCAGGGUGGCAGGACACUGCAGA